GACGAAGGGGGGCUAGCGUUGUUCGGAAUUACUGGGCGUAAAGCGAGUGUAGGUGGUUGUCCAAGUUGGAUGUGAAAGCCUUGAGCUCAACUCAAGAAAUGCAUUCAGGACUGGAUGGCUAGAGGACCGGAGAGGAUAGUGGAAUUCCCAGUGUAGUGGUGAAAUACGUAGAGAUUGGGAAGAACACCAGUGGCGAAGGCGGCUAUCUGGACGGUUUCUGACACUAAGACUCGAAAGCGGUGGGGAGCAAACAGG
rnacentral:rRNA from 1 species